rnacentral:rRNA from 1 species
CCUACGGGCGGCAGCAGUGGGGAAUAUUGCACAAUGGGGGAAACCCUGAUGCAGCGACGCCGCGUGAGUGAAGAAGUAUCUCGGUACGUAAAGCUCUAUCAGCAGGGAAGAAAAUGACGGUACCUGACUCAGAAGCCCCGGCUAACUACGUGCCAGCAGCCGCGGUAAUACGUAGGGGGCGAGCGGUAUCCGGAUUUACUGGGUGUAAAGGGAGCGUAGACGGGAGCACAAGUCUGGAGUGAAAUCCCGGGGCUUAACCCCGGAACUGCUUUUGAUACUGGGCGGCUGGAGUGCAGGAGGGGUAGGCGGAAUUCGUAGUGUAGCGGUGAAAUGCGUAGAUAUUAGGAAGAACACCGAUGGCGAAGGCAGCUUACUGGACUGUAACUGACGUUGAGGCUCGAAAGCGUGGGGAGCAAACAGGAUUAGAUACCCGUGUAGUC